rnacentral:rRNA from 1 species
UACGACGGGGGCUAGCGUUGUUCGGAAUUACUGGGCGUAAAGCGCACGUAGGCGGAUUGUUAAGUUAGGGGUGAAAUCCCGGGGCUCAACCCCGGAACUGCCUUUAAUACUGGCAAUCUCGAGUCCGAGAGAGGUGAGUGGAAUUCCGAGUGUAGAGGUGAAAUUCGUAGAUAUUCGGAGGAACACCAGUGGCGAAGGCGGCUCACUGGCUCGGUACUGACGCUGAGGUGCGAAAGCGUGGGGAGCAAACAGG